rnacentral:misc_RNA from 1 species
GAUGAAGAACGUAGCGAAAUGCGAUAAGUAGUGUGAAUUGCAGAAUUCAGUGAAUCAUCGAAUCUUUGAACGCACAUUGCGCCCUUUGGUAUUCCUUAGGGCAUGCCUGUUCGAGCGUCAUUUACAAAUUCAAGCUCAGCUUGGUGAUGGGUGUCUGUCCCGCCUUUGCGUGUGGACUCGCCUCAAAUGCAGUUGGCAGCUUGUUCCUCGGCUCUAAACGCAUCAGAUUUGCGUCGAGCGUCGUGCGGACGGGCUCUCCAGUAAGCAAACCCCCACAAAUUGACCUCGGAUCAGGUAGGGAUACCCGCUGAACUUAAGCAUAUCAAUAAGCGGAGGA